rnacentral:misc_RNA from 1 species
AAAAAAAAAGAAAGAAAGAAACCAAUCUUUGAUUUUAAUAUUUAUGUCCAGAAACUUUAAAAUUCAAGCCCUAGCAAUUUUAAACAUUUUAGACAGAUAAUUGUGGAAUCAAAUUACUAUUAAUUACUACUCCUAGCAAAACGCAAGUUUUCUUCAAAAUUCAUGUCACUAGUAGAUAUAAUUAAUCAAGUGACAACAAAAGAAGUGAAGGUGGAAAGCAAAAGGAAUUGUCACUUAUCCCCAAUAUCUCUAUUAGCACUAUCAAGGUAUUUUUGCAUUUAUAAUUCUUUGUCUUAGAAUUAUUAACUCUCUUCUUCUCCUAGUCUUCAUGGUACAUUGGAUGAUUUGAACUACUUGUUCAAAACUUAUACUGGAUGUAGUGAUCCUCAAUUUGACUAAACAGUUUAUGAACUGAAAUUGAUGUUGCAUACUCCAAGAAUCCAGUACUUUCACUCAUAUUUGCAUUUUGGUAUUUGUAUUCCGAAAAUCGAAUAUCCUAAGUUGAGGGGAGCGAUACCUGCUUAGAUAGAUUAGGUGAGAGUGAGAUAUGAUACCCCAUUUGAAGCACAAAUGUGAAAAAUCAAUUCCAGCAGAAAUUUUCAUAGUUUUUCUUUGAAACCUACUUAGGUUGACCAUAACAAAGGUGUGAGUUCUGGAAAGAGUUAAUAAAUGCAACCUUACUCUUCUUUGCAGAGAGACUGCUUUUGUGGCUUUAACAUGUGACCUCAGGUCACAAAUGAAGUAACUUUACCGUAAUACCAAAGUCACCCUCUACUAAGUUCACCAUAGGAAAAAAAAGUUAAAAAGAAAAGAA